rnacentral:rRNA from 1 species
UGGGGAAUAUUGCACAAUGGGCGCAAGCCUGAUGCAGCCAUGCCGCGUGUGUGAAGAAGGCCUUCGGGUUGUAAAGCACUUUCAGCGAGGAGGAAGGUGGUGAACUUAAUACGUUCAUCAAUUGACGUUACUCGCAGAAGAAGCACCGGCUAACUCCGUGCCAGCAGCCGCGGUAAUACGGAGGGUGCAAGCGUUAAUCGGAAUUACUGGGCGUAAAGCGCACGCAGGCGGUUUGUUAAGUCAGAUGUGAAAUCCCCGGGCUCAACCUGGGAACUGCAUUUGAAACUGGCAAGCUAGAGUCUCGUAGAGGGGGGUAGAAUUCCAGGUGUAGCGGUGAAAUGCGUAGAGAUCUGGAGGAAUACCGGUGGCGAAGGCGGCCCCCUGGACGAAGACUGACGCUCAGGUGCGAAAAGCGUGGGGAGCAAACAGGAUUAGAUACCCCUGGUAGUCCACGCUGUAAAACGAUGUCGAUUUUGGAGGUUGUGCCCUUGAGGCGUGGCUUCCGGAGCUAACGCGUUAAAUCGACCGCCUGGGGAGUACGGCCGCAAGGUUAAAACUCAAAGGAAUUG